GCAUGUGGUUUGCUUCCACAAGGUUGAGUCCCUCUUGGGUACCUACGUUGCAAUUGCAAUUGCUAUAGUUUUCUGGUCCCCAAAUAUUGUAGGGUUAGGCAGGAAACUUAGUUUUUUAAAAAAAUGCAAUGUAGAGUUUCUAUACUAUUUUUCUCUCUCAUGUCUUCUCUAAUUGCCAUUUUCUAUUACACCAUUGCAGAAUGAGCUUUCAGCUAUCUUGAGAUUUGGAGCAGAGGAACUUUUUAAAGAAGAGAAGAAUGAAGAAGAAAGUAUAUUGAGAUGAUUUCUUUGGAGCAAUUCUUGACAACAUUUGUAGUUGAGGCCUUUAGAAUGGAAGAAUGUAUUUCACUAAUUUUUGUAUACAUUUCUUGUUUUGUAUUUAGUGAUAAAGGAAUCUGAAUUGGGCAUAAAUUAUGUUGUAAUAUGAUUUCUUAAA